GAUGAACGCUGGCGGCGUGCCUAAUACAUGCAAGUCGAGCGAACAGACGAGGAGCUUGCUCCUCUGACGUUAUCGGCGGACGGGUGAGGAACACGGGGAUAACCUACCUAUAAGACUGGGAUAACUUCGGGAAACCGGAGCUAAUACCGUAUAACAUGUUGAACCGCAUGGUUCAACCGUGAAAGACGGUCUUUCUGUCACUUAUAGAUGGAUCCGCCCCGCAUUAGUUAGUUGGUAAGGUAACGGAUUAGCAAGGCAACGAUGGGUAGCCGCCCUGAAGGGGUGAAUGGCCAGACUGGAUGUGAGACACGUCCGAGACUCCGAGGGGGGGAAGCAGUAGGGACUCUUCCGCAAUGGGGGAAAGCCUGAUGGAGCAACGCCGCGUGAGUGAAGAAGGUCUUCGGAUCGUAAAACUCUGUUAUUAGGGAAGAACAAAUGUGUAAGUAACUAUGAACGUCAUGACGGUACCUAAUCAGAAAGCCCCGGCUAACUACGUG
rnacentral:rRNA from 1 species